rnacentral:rRNA from 1 species
AGUGAACGCUGGCGGUAGGCCUAACACAUGCAAGUCGAACGGCAGCACAGUAAGAGCUUGCUCUUACGGGUGGCGAGUGGCGGACGGGUGAGGAAUACAUCGGAAUCUACUUUUUCGUGGGGGAUAACGUAGGGAAACUUACGCUAAUACCGCAUACGACCUACGGGUGAAAGCAGGGGAUCUUCGGACCUUGCGCGAUUGAAUGAGCCGAUGUCGGAUUAGCUAGUUGGCGGGGUAAAGGCCCACCAAGGCGACGAUCCGUAGCUGGUCUGAGAGGAUGAUCAGCCACACUGGAACUGAGACACGGUCCAGACUCCUACGGGAGGCAGCAGUGUGGAAUAUUGGACAAUGGGCGCAAGCCUGAUCCAGCCAUACCGCGUGGGUGAAGAAGGCCUUCGGGUUGUAAAGCCCUUUUGCUGGGAAAGAAAAGCAGCAGGUUAAUACCCCGCUGUUCUGACGGUACCCAAAGAAUAAGCACCGGCUAACUUCGUG